UUCCUUCUGAAAAGCUCUUGGUGGGUCUGCGCUUGUGGCCCGAUGAGAUGUCGUGGAAGGAGAGAGCAGAAAUAUCACUCCUGGGUGAAACGGCAGCCUGUGCUGUUCGCUUCAGUCGGUGAUUUGACAAGG